CAGCAGAAACCUGUAGCUCUCCAGGACCAGGGUUGGAGACCACUACUUUAAACGCUUUAAGGUGUAAUGUGUGAUUACAGUGUGCUUAACUGAACAUUCUAAUGCUGGUGUAACUAUCACUACUGGUAAUUGUAAGCAAUGGAGUUCUAGAACAGUGACUUUGUGUACUUUUUAACAUUCCAAAGAAACCUACUCUUCAAAGGGUUGAUGCACAAUCACCUGCAGCAUUUCUCUCACAAGAUGUUUGGCUGCAGUAUGAUGCCUUGUUGUUCCUCAUUCAGGCAUGCCCCUAAGCAUCAUGGGCGUUUUAAUCUAAAGCAGUGGUCUCCAACCCUGGUCCUGGAGAGCUACAGGGUCUGCUGGUUUUCAGUGACUUUGCACUUCGUGAAUCAAUUAGAGCAGUUGAUUACACAGUUAACUCAACUCACCUGGUGUCUUGGGUCUCAAUUGGGUGCUGAUUUUAAGGUGAAAACAAAAACCAGCAGACCCUGUAGCUCUCCAGGAACAGGGUUGGAGACCACUGAUGUAAAGGGAUUUUGACAGUGAUGUGGGGCCUUUUUUUUCCUAAAUAAAGCUGAUUCACACAGUGUUGCAAAAAAAAAAAAGACUGCCUUUGCAAAGCAGCUCCUUUUUCAUAGGCUUGGUGUAAAUGCUAUGACAUCAGACUGAUUUUUGGAAUUUUCUGGAACCAUUGACUGGAUAACACUCAUUGCUCUGUACUGUUUGAGACUGGUGAAGUCCAGGGACAAGAGGCUUACAAGAUAAGCAGUGUUUUGUUUUGUUUUUUCGUUGGUCUUGCUGUACAUUGCCAACAUCAUUUCCUUUGUAAGGAGAUUCUGGGUCAGCAAUCAGCUUGAGAGAAAUAGACUGCCAGACUCCAUCAACAGAAACGGAAUCAAAUCCCUGUGAUGAACAGUCCCGGCCCUCUGCCCUCACACUGUCUGCAGACACAAUCCUGCUUCACCUUUAUCUGGGCUCGGCUGUGUUCUAAUCUCUUCAGCGUGCCUUCCUAAUGGGAGCUGUGGUGGAAGAAGGCAGCUGGGCUCAGAAACCGGAGAGGCGUGUUCAUCGUGGGCCGUUGGGUGUUGAUGGACAGAGUCUCUCAGCCCCCGUGUUCCUGUCCUCCACAGGGGUGGGGGUGAGGGUGAGGGUGUACUUCCUCUACGCCGGAUAGACUCCUCAGAGUCUGCUUGUGCUGUUUUUCCGUUAGCCCCUGUAAUGCAAGGAUUUACUAACAUUAGCAGAAUUGGAAUAUUGUCAGUUGAUGAAAUCAGGUUUUUAAGCUUUGCGGAGCCAUGUCCUUGUUCUACUGUACGCUUAUACAUAAGCAUGUCUUCAUGAGGAUUUCCCCUUCAGAUUCAUGAUGAUCUGUGGUUAUUUACCUCCGCCCCUUACAACCCUUGAACAAAAAUACAUUUUAUUUGUAUUGUGAUUUUCCUUGUAGUCAAAACAUUUUACAGCAAGACAGUUUAAAAUAAGUAGUAUGUUCUCCCUUGUAAGGGUUUUCCAACCUGAAAACCUCUGAUUCGAAUUAUGAUUAAUCUAAAUGUUUUUGUUUUAAGAAGUGGGAAGGUCUGAUUAGGGUACUGAAGGCAAAUGGAGUGGAAAUGACGUGUGGGAAUAAAUGCCAGAGAGGGGACAGGGGAGGGAUGCAACAGAAUUAUGAUAUCUGACUGCUUGCACUCCUUAGACCGGCCCAUUUACACACACACACACACCACACAAACACACACACACACCACCCACCCAUCUGGGAAGAUUUUUUCUGGCCAGAUGCCUUAGUGUCUGCAAUCUGCAUCUUUAAUUAGUAAGUUCCAGUAGUCCGAGCUGUUACAUAUCCUGUCAUUGAUGUGACUUUGCUUACUGUCAUAGCAAAUGCCAGGGAGGAAAAUGAAUAGUGCCUAAUUUGGCUACUGUGUAAUGAAACUCAAGGUCAGUUAGUGUUUAAAGUCACAGUUUCACUCUGUGAUUGCUGAGGUACAUUUCCUCCUUUGAGAUAUUAGCGUAAUCAUUUGAUUUGGUUUAAUUGUGUUCCAAGUUACCACUGCUUUCUCCAAUAUUACUGUCAGCUGUGUUUCCCAUAUUAGCCCUACUUGUGUGUUUUUGGUCACUGAACUGGGUGAUACAGUUGUGUCAAAUAAAAUAAACACUUUCAGUUGA